rnacentral:rRNA from 1 species
UAAGUAUAAAUGAUAUACAGUGAAACUGCGAAUGGCUCAUUAAAACAGUUAUAGUUUAUUUGGUAAUCCAAUUUACAUGGAUAACCGUGGUAAUUCUAGAGCUAAUACAUGCUGUAAAGCCCGACUUCACGGAAGGGCCGUAUUUAUUAGAUAACAGACCAAUAUUCCUCGUGUCUAUUGUGGUGAAUCAUAGUAACUAAUCGGAUCGCAGGGGCUAGUCCCGCGACAAACCAUUCAAGUUUCUGCCCCAUCAACUUUCGAUGGUAGUGUAUUGGACUACCAUGGCUUUUACGGGUAACGGAGGAUUAGGGUUCGAUUCCGGAGAGGGAGCCUGAGAAACGGCUACCACAUCUAAGGAAGGCAGCAGGCGCGUAAAUUACCCAAUCCUAAUUCAGGGAGGUAGUGACAAGAAAUAACGGGUCGGGGCUCUGCCCCGGGACUGCAAUGAGAUGAAUUUACACCCCUUUUC